rnacentral:rRNA from 1 species
AUUGAACGCUGGCGGCAGGCUUAACACAUGCAAGUCGAACGGGUUAAAGAAGCUUGCUUCUUUGAUUAGUGGCGCACGGGUGAGUAAUGUAUAGCUAACCUGCCCCUUAGUGAGGGACAACAGUUGGAAACGGCUGCUAAUACCUCAUACUCCUUCUUAUCAUAAGGUGAGUUGGGAAAGAUUUAUUGCUAAGGGAUGGGGCUUUAUUGUAUCAGCUAGUUGGUGGGGUAAUGGCCUACCAAGGCUAUGACGCAUACCUGGUCUGAGAGGAUGAUCAGGCACACUGGAACUGAGACACGGUCCAGACUCCUACGGGAGGCAGCAGUGGGGAAUAUUGCACAAUGGAGGAAACUCUGAUGCAGCAACGCCGCGUGGAGGAUGACGCAUUUCGGUGUGUAAACUCCUUUUAUAGGGGAAGAUAAUGACGGUACCCUAUGAAUAAGCACCGGCUAACUCCGUG